rnacentral:rRNA from 1 species
CUACGGGGGGCUGCAGUGGGGAAUAUUGGACAAUGGGGGAAACCCUGAUCCAGCAAUGCCGCGUGUGCGAAGAAGGCCUGCGGGUUGUAAAGCACUUUCGGUUGGGAGGACUGCUUCUAGCACUAAUAUUGUUGGAAGUUGACGUUACCUUCAGAAGAAGCACCGGCUAACUCCGUGCCAGCAGCCGCGGUAAUACGGAGGGUGCAAGCGUUAAUCGGAAUUACUGGGCGUAAAGCGCGCGUAGGCGGCUAGAUCAGUCGGGUGUGAAAGCCCCGGGCUUAACCUGGGAACUGCAUCCGAUACUGUCUAGCUUGAGUACAGGAGAGGGGAGUGGAAUUCCAGAUGUAGCGGUGAAAUGCGUAGAUAUGUGGAGGAACACCAAUGGCGAAGGCAGCCCUCUGGCCUGAUACUGACGCUGAGACGCGAAAGCGUGGGGAGCAAACAGGAUUAGAUACCCGGGUAGUC